UGCACUAUGCGGAGCUCUUCUGCACUUUG
rnacentral:piRNA from 1 species